UAGGGAAUAUUGGGCAAUGGGUGCAAGCCUGACCCAGCCAUGCCGCGUGCAGGAAGAAGGUCCUCUGGAUUGUAAACUGCUUUUAUUAGGGGAGAAAAGGUGGGAUGCGUCCUACUAUGACGGUACCUAAUGAAUAAGCCACGGCUAACUACGUGCCAGCAGCCGCGGUAAUACGUAGGUGGCGAGCGUUGUCCGGAUUUAUUGGGUUUAAAGGGUGCGUAGGUGGUUGUAUAAGUCAGUGGUGAAAGCUGGUUGCUCAACAAUCAGAUUGGCAUUGAUACUGUAUAACUUGAGUAAAGUGGAGGCUGGUGGAAUGGAUGGUGUAGCGGUGAAAUGCAUAGAUAUCAUCCAGAACGUCAAUUGCGAAGGCAACUGGCUGUACUUUUACUGACACUGAGGC
rnacentral:rRNA from 1 species